rnacentral:misc_RNA from 1 species
GAUGAAGAACGUAGCGAAAUGCGAUAAGUAAUGUGAAUUGCAGAAUUCCGUGAAUCAUCGAAUUUUUGAACGCAUAUUGCGCCCUCUGGUAUUCCGGAGGGCAUGCCUGUUCGAGCGUCAUUUCACCACUCAAGCCUCGCUUGGUAUUGGGCAACGCGGUCCGCCGCGUGCCUCAAAUCGUCCGGCUGGGUCUUCUGUCCCCUAAGCGUUGUGGAAACUAUUCGCUAAAGGGUGUUCGGGAGGCUACGCCGUAAAACAACCCCAUUUCUAAGGUUGACCUCGGAUCAGGUAGGGAUACCCGCUGAACUUAAGCAUAUCAAUAAGCGGAGGA